rnacentral:rRNA from 1 species
CAGCAGCCGCGGUAAUACCGAGGAUGCAAGCGUUAUCCGGAAUGAUUGGGCGUAAAGCGUCUGUAGGUGGCUUUUCAGGUCCGCCGUCAAAUCCCAGGGCUCAACCCUGGACAGGCGGUGGAAACUACCAAGCUGGAGUACGGUAGGGGCAGAGGGAAUUUCCGGUGGAGCGGUGAAAUGCGUAGAUAUAUGGAGGAACACCGGUGGCGAAAGCGGCUCUCUGGUCUGUAACUGACGCUGAGGCUCGAAAGCGUGGGGAGCAAACAGGAUUAGAUACCCGUGUAGUCCCUGUCUCUUAUAC